AUUGAACGCUGGCGGCAGGCCUAACACAUGCGAGUCGAGCGGAUGAAGGGAGCUUGCUCCUGGAUUCAGCGGCGGACGGGUGAGUAAUGCCUAGGAAUCUGCCUGGUAGUGGGGGAUAACGUCCGGAAACGGGCGCUAAUACCGCAUACGUCCUGAGGGAGAAAGUGGGGGAUCUUCGGACCUCACGCUAUCAGAUGAGCCUAGGUCGGAUUAGCUAGUUGGUGGGGUAAAGGCCUACCAAGGCGACGAUCCGUAACUGGUCUGAGAGGAUGAUCAGUCACACUGGAACUGAGACACGGUCCAGACUCCUACGGGAGGCAGCAGUGGGGAAUAUUGGACAAUGGGCGAAAGCCUGAUCCAGCCAUGCCGCGUGUGUGAAGAAGGUCUUCGGAUUGUAAAGCACUUUAAGUUGGGAGGAAGGGCAGUAAGUUAAUACCUUGCUGUUUUGACGUGACCAACAGAAUAAGCACCGGCUAACUUCGUG
rnacentral:rRNA from 1 species